rnacentral:lncRNA from 1 species
UCAUGUUCAUUGAUUAAAGUAAAGCAAUAGCAUGAAUCUAACCAUAGUAGCCCAAAAGGGAAUCAAGGACUAAGUAAAUAGAAAGCUAGUCAAUCCUUAGGUUGCUCAUAGUAUGCGGACAUAAUAGGUUAGAGGACACUUGCCUUCACCAAACAGAUGCUCAGGGUCUUCAACUUCGUGGAACUCGAAGAGCCAGAUCACUUGGUCGCCGAAGCUUGACCGUCGAUUCCUCGAAGCUCGAAAACGAAUCGCAUUCUAUUCGCGACAUGCAGCGAAUAUGAAUAGGCACAAGCAAACAAACAUAUACAAGUAUAAGAACAUCACACCAUACAAAGGAAAACAAUAUAAGAAUGUGCAAUACAAAAUAAAGCUCGCUUCUAUGGUCACGCGAGGAAAGAAACGCGAUCGUCGAAGCUACGGUCUAGAAGUUAUAACGUUUCGCUACACAAGUAAUAGACAUGACAUUUAAUUCUACACUAUAAAAUAUAAAUUAUAACUGCAGUGUAGUUUUGAUGAUUAAAUCUGCUACACUAACGGCUGUCAAAUAAAUAAUUAACAUAAUUAGCACGAGAGAUUCUAAGCGAGGCGAGUUUACGAUGCGCGAAACAGCAUGUCAGCGUGCGAACAACACGCGGACACUCGCAACAUAGCACGCUGACGGCGCAUGAAAACGGUGCGCGCGACCAUCAUGAACGACGCGCGAACCGGCAUGCCACCACGUGCGGAACAACACGCGCGACAGGAGAGAAAAACUAAAUAGAUGACACGUUUAUACUAAACAAAUAUUAAAUAAAUAAAAAGUAGUUAAGUUAAUAUUAGUCAUGUUAAUGUUUAUUAUAAAAGCGCAAGUUGAACACUACACAUUUAAUCUAAUUGGGAUAUUAAUCUAAUAAAUAUUAGUCGAGCAAACCUUAAGUUAAUUAUGUAAAAUACAUGGUCCAACGAUUUAACGUUACUAACAUAAGUGUUUAUAAGCGAAAACAAUUUAUUAUCGCGCACACGCCGCGCGGCACACGACAAUGCGUGAAACAGCACGUGGACGACACGCUACGACGUGCGCGGACAGCACGCGCGCCAUGCGAAACAGCACGCGCGACACGCACGGACGACGUGCAAACAGCGAGACGAUACAGUAGAAUCGCUAACCGAUAUCACAUUCAUACUAGAAAGUGUUAAUUACAACAUUUGAGUCGACAUAAUCACAUUAACGGGUAUUUAUAAAAGAGCAAGUUAAAACUUAUAAUUUUAUUUUAGAUUGCUACUUUAUUAACUCUCGGAUAAAUAAAUAAUCGAUUAAAUAGCUAAGACGUGUAUCGCGACGAAAUAAUGUUACUAACACGCACGUGACGAGGUUAUGAAGUUAAUACGACUAAAACGAGUCGAAACGGAUUUACGACACAUGAUUUAUUGAAUAAAUCGCAAUUUACGAAUUAUAAAUGACGCAACAUACGAGAACUGCUAAACACCCAUCGCAAUUAAACUAGGCAAGUAUGGAAUCAAAAUAUUUGAGUUGGUAUUUACUUCAUUGACAUUUUUUAUAAAAGUGCAACUUAAAACUAUAAAUUAGCUUUAACUACAUUGCUAUUUUAAGAAUCUACGAACAAAGUGGUAAUUAAUUAAAUACAUAAAACAUGUGUCGAGCCAAAACAAUGUUUCUAACAUGUAGAAAAUAUUAUUAUGGAACUAACAAAGACCGGAACGGAUCAAAACGGAUUUAUAACACCACAAAAAAUAUUGAGUAAAUAAUAACUCUCAGAUUUAAAGUGAUGUGGCAUAUUUUAUUGUUCAAAAACUCGCCACACGGAGGGCCACAUGGGCUCAGCCAUAGUGGAUCGUGGAGGUGGGAUCCGGUGUGGCCACAGCCAUACACGGGCCAACCAGGAGCUGGCUUGGUCGCAUGCGAUCACAGGAAUCACGGAGGCAAAGGUGCAUGCAUGUGGGUAGGGCCCACGGGCGGUUUCUUUUUUUCCCUAUUCCCUAUUGCACGAAUGGCUAGAGCAGGGUGCCCAAGCGAACGUGGCGCCGAUGAUGGUAGGCUCUACGGCGGGUGGGUUGACGGCGGUGGCAUCUGCUCGCCGGAGUCGGGGCUGAGCGACGCACAGCGCAGUAGAGCACGAGGUCGUGGCUUGCGGCAACACAGCAGCACCAUGCGAGUCGAGUGGCGUGGCAGGGGAGGCUCGGCCGAGGUUGGCCGCGCGCGCGCGCCGCGCUAGCUGUCCAUCGGGCUGCCGCACUGGCUGCGUAGACUGGCUGUCGUGCCACCACGCUGGCUGGCCCCGACAGCGCCCACGCGCGCCUGCAAGGACUCAAGGGGGCGCGCCACCGCGCAGGGGAGUGGCUUGGCCGCUCGGCCAUGGGGAUGGAGAGAGGCUGAGAGGGACGAAAAAAAUAGACGGCAAGGAGUUCUUACCUCGGCAGACUCGAGCGCGGGUGCUAGAACAUGCUCCGGCGAGGUGGACGGCGUGGCGACGAAGAUGGGCGGCACGACAUCAGCGGGUGGCGCGAUGGCGGAGAUGAGCGGUGUGCCGGGCGGUUCCUGGCUCAGGAUGUGAGGAGAUGGGGGCACGGUUUUGCACGAGAGAUGGG